rnacentral:rRNA from 1 species
AUUGAACGCUGGCGGCAUGCCUUACACAUGCAAGUCGAACGGUAACAGGUUAAGCUGACGAGUGGCGAACGGGUGAGUAAUACAUCGGAACGUGCCCAGACGUGGGGGAUAGCUCGGCGAAAGCCGGAUUAAUACCGCAUAAGCUCUGAGGAGGAAAGCGGGGGACCGUAAGGCCUCGCGCGUUUGGAGCGGCAGAUGGCAGAUUAGGUAGUUGGUGGGGUAAAGGCUUACCAAGCCUACGAUCUGUAGCUGGUCUGAGAGGACGACCAGCCACACUGUGACUGAGACACGGCCCAGACUCCGACGGGAGGCAGCAGUGGGGAAUUUUGGACAAUGGGCGAAAGCCUGAUCCAGCAAUGCCGCGUGCAGGAUGAAGGCCUUCGGGUUGUAAACUGCUGUUGUACGGAACAAAAAGGCGCCUACUAAUACUGGGUGUUGAUGACGGUACCGUAAGAAUAAGCACCGGCUAACUACGUGCCAGCCGCCGCUGUAACAC